UGAAAAGGCAAAUAUGGACUCUUGCAGCAAACUCAAGUUCAGGGUGCAACAAUGCUUCUCCAGUGAUGACAUUUAAUUGUGCAUUGGCAGCCUUUCCACUGGAGCCUCCAAGUUCUGCUUGAGCUGAGAGGUUGCUGGGAAGACCUUUUCCUGGAAUCGAGUUCAGCUCUUAGAACCCCUCCAUGGGUGGCUGAUGGAUAAAGCAAUAACGCUGACCGAGUCUUGCUCCUUUCCAUAUUAAUGGGACCAUUUGCUGUUGUGGGAUUGAAAGUAUUACAUUUCACAAGAACAUUUCUUGGAAACGAAGUUCACGUUUUCACUCAUUUGGACACAUUGAGAGAUGAUUGGAUGUGAGAUGAGGGAAGACUGGCUCAAAAAACGGGAAUUUGCAGAGACGCAUAUGUCAAGUGUCACACUUCUGGAGGCAAUGCAAGGAAUGUCGGAUGAAAGCUCUGAAUCUGGAUAUGGGUGAGUCAAGAGGCAAACCUUGAACUGUUGAGGGUUGUGCAACACAAUCGCUGUGAUCGGAAGUGUGGAGCAAGUAGGUUACCUGAGGAGUCUCCAUAAAACAUGUCACAAGUCUUUGAAAUAGCACAUUGUGACCCCAUGCAUACUCACCCAGUGAAGAUUACAGAUUUACGAGAUGAAACUUUGCUUUUACUCUGUGCUUGUAACCUGAUAUUUUAGGAUAAUUCCAUUGUCUUUAUUUUGUUGUUUAAAAAUGUGUAAUGCAAUGCACUAAAAGUUGAUUUCAUGUACUAAUCCUUAAUCUUCAAACAAUAAGGGAUAUAUGAUUGACGUGGGACAGUUUGGGGCACGUGUGCA